GAACUUUACCCUCUUAUGGCUCUCUCUCUCUCUCUCUCUCUCUAACCCUCACGCUCAUUCCAUUCCUUCCUGCUUUUCCCUCAUCUCCUUCCGCGCCUCUCUCUCUCUCUAACCCUCUCAAAGCUCCUCAAUCUCUGUAAGAAAAAAACAAGCUGGUUUUUCUUGGUUUUGAGAAUCCUCAAAUCUCUGUGAAGAAAAUGAACUGGUUUUUCUUUUCCUUUGUCGUUUAGAUUGACCUGAAUAUUUGGGUUUUCAAGAAUCGCUGAUCAAAACCACCAGGUGGACGAGAAGAAAAACACCUGGUGGGACAUCAAAUCUCUGUAAAUUUACAGUUGGGUUUCCUUCUUUGCAUUUGAAGUGACCAGGGUUGCGUUCUUGAGAUUCUUGAAGCUCAUCAAAUCUCUGUAGUGAAUUUGGUUGGGUUUUCUUUUACUCCAUGGUAUUAGUUAACUCUGUAUUUCUUGGCAGUACCUGAUAAAUCCGGCUUGGGUUUGAUGGUUGGAGAAGUUAGUUUUUAGGGUUUUGAGGAUUGAGUUUGAAAUGGGUAGCAGGAAAGCAAGGUGGACAAUCUCUCUGAAGUUUCUUUUCAGCCAUUGAAGUUUCGACGAGAAUGGCGAUCGGAGUUCCUGUACCCCAUCGCCAUGGCUCUAAUGGUUGACCCAUUCAUUGUUUCUUCUGGACGGACCUUUGAGAGGAGAUGCAUCGAGGCCUUCAAGGAAAUGGGCGCCAUGGCCAUGACCUCCGCCCAAUUAGACGUUUUAGCCCUAAUCCCUAAUCUUGCUCUCAAACCUGCCAUUUCCUACUUGUGUGAUGAAUCGGGCUUGAAGAAGCCUAGUACCCUGUUCCCAAAAACUGCCAAGAUGGGGUAGACAAAUCAACGAAAUUAGACAUCAAAAUAGAUUACCAUCAUAAUACAAUAAGUUGCGAAUGUUUCUCAAUUGAGGUGGAAAAAACUCGUACUUUAUUCGCUGUGAA